AGUACAUGUUAUACUGCAGAUAUUUAAAUUUGAUUGUUUUUACCCCUAUAUUUUGCAGGCGCAAAAACAAUGAUUAUAUUUUCAAGUUGUAUUUUGUUUGGUCUAUCACUUUCAGCAGUGUUAUCUUGUCCUCCAUUGUGAUGAUUUCAUAUCAAAAACAUGAAGUCAAGUUUCUCAAAUGAGUUUUGGAGUCUUUUAUUCUGUUUAGCAAUGAGAUUCCGAAAUUGAUUUACAAUCUUUUAUUUUCUUUUGAAGCUAGUUAACUGGAUCAAUCGUUUCGUUAAAUCUGUUUUGUGGAUGUUCGAGUGGGCUGUGGAACUACCCGAUGAGUUACGUGAUGCGAGAGAGUGAUAAUAUUGAAUCUUUAGCAGUAGAUUUGGGGUUAGUAUGGCUAGUAUUGAAUCUGUUAAUGGAAUUGUUAAUUCUGAUAAUGUUAUUGUUGGAUCUAUUUACUAUAUUCCUUUAAAUUCAGUUCCUGAUGAGCCAUCAUAUCCUGCAGAGAGCGUUGUUCCUCCAGCUCCUACUUCUGCUCUAGCACCGCCUGUUCAUGAUGUUGCGUGGUAACAUGGAUUGGAGUAGUUAAAUUCGUCAAAUGAAGGAAGAGGACACGAUAAUCUGUUCAAAAUGCUACAAGAAUGGGAACUAUGGGGUGAACAGGUCUGCAGAUGAUUUCAAUCUCAUUCAAAACAUUAUUAACAAGACUAAAUCCAAACGAGUCUCAUUCUCAAGAGAAAACUGAAGCAAAAGUCCAAGACAAUGAGCUUGAGCAUAAGGGUGAACAGAAUGGAGAUACUGAGAUGGAGACACCAACUCUGAAGAGAAGACGAAGUGCUUCACCUUCAGACAAUAGGGGUGCAUUGAUGGAACAGUUUGUUAUCAGUUCCUCUUAUGUUGAAUAUCAACUUUCUGCAAACUUGGUAGCUCUCAUAUCCUCUUUAGUUGGUCCACAUAUCACUGCC